rnacentral:lncRNA from 1 species
AAGCAUGCCAAAUUAAUCACACUUCUUAAACACAUCUCUUGACCGGGGUGUUCUCACCAUGCCCUUUCUACAAACAAAAAGAAGGCAAUGUAUCGCAUCCUGUAUUACCUUCCCCUGACCUCAUAGCUUCCCAAAACAGGAACAAUCAUGGGCUUUGAAGUAAAGAAUGAAGAUGUGGAGACCUGGAGACAGGUGGCACCUCGUGCUUCCUCCGAAGGGAGAGCCCAUUUCCUAACAGCUGGAUCAAAGGCAUGAAAUGAACAUGGAGUCCCUGAAGAUGAAGAGAAGGCAUGGCUUCCAGGGAGAAAUUGUACAUUACAGGAAUGCAGAUGUGAUUCCUAUGGAUGAGGGUAACCUAGAGGCUAGAAGAACAAUAGGACAGAAGAAGCCUGGGUCCCUGAACAACCUUGUGGAGCAUAGACACCUACGUGGCCUGGACUGCCAGCUCACAAUGGGCCUCUCUGUGAGAGAAGGAAACUUCCCUCUUGUUUAAGCAACUGUGCUUUUGAGAAUCUCUUGGUC